rnacentral:rRNA from 1 species
GGAUAACAGGCUGAUACCGCCCAAGAGUUCAUAUCGACGGCGGUGUUUGGCACCUCGAUGUCGGCUCAUCACAUCCUGGGGCUGAAGUAGGUCCCAAGGAUAUGGCUGUUCGCCAUUUAAAGUGAUACGCGAGCUGGGUUUAGAACGUCGUGAGACAGUUCGGUCCUUAUCUGUCGUGGGCGAAGGAAGAUUGAGGGAGGCUGCUCCUAGUACGAGAGGACCGGACGCACCACUGGUGUACAGGUUGUCAUGCCAAUGGCAUCGCCUGGUAGCUAAGUGCGGAAGAGAUAACCGCUGAAAGCAUCUAAGCGGGAAACUUGCUCAAGAUAAGUCUUACCUGACAAUCGUCCUAUAAGGGGUGUUCGAGACGAGGACGUAGAUAGGCUGGGGGUGUAAGCAUAGCGAUACGUUGAGCUAACUAGUACUAAUGACCCGAGAGGCUUAACCUGACAACACCGAAGGUGUUU